UUAGGUGUCUAUAUCGGCGGUGUCCACCUCUUCCCAUUCCGAACAGAGAAGUUAAGCCCGCCAGAG
rnacentral:rRNA from 1 species